rnacentral:lncRNA from 1 species
UAAAUCUUUAUAAAGAAUAAUGAAAAAAAUACAAUUAACAAAAAAUUAACUAAAUAAUUACAUCAUAUUAACAAAUAAUCAACAAAAAUGAACAUAAAAGAGAUUUGCUAUAUAUCCCCUGUACUGCACCAUCUGUAAAAGAAAAAAACUUCAGACAGAUUUGAUCAUUACAGUAUAUUAGAUGUUGGAUUAUAACAAAAACCCUAAUAACAUUAUCAAAUAUUAAACAUUUUUUCCUCAGUUUGUUGACAUUAAAAGAUAAAAUAAACUAGAAACAAGAAGUAGAACAAAUUCACCUGCAUUUUUAAAGCUUCUUUUCUUGUUAGCUCUUGCUUGCUAUGAAAUAGAGAACUUAGCCAUUUAUUGCCACUGCAGCAUCAUCAAGAUUCUCAAAAACAUAUUCAUAAAGCGCUGAUUGAUCAAUUCAAUUCAAAAAAAACCUUAAAAUGCUUUUUGUGAAUCUUGAUGAUGCUCCAACAGAAAACAAUGGCUGUUGUACCAUUAUCAACAUCAGCAUCAGCAUCACCAUCAUCAUCAUCAUAUCAUCCCAUGCAGAAGAAGAAUAAAGAGAAGCCUGAACCCCAUUGCAUCAAAUAGAAAGAACUUCAAAAGGAAGUGAAAGAACAUGAAGCAAAGUUUGAUAAGAACAAAAACCCAAAGCUAAAAUAGAGGGAAAAGAAUGGAACUUUGAAGACCAUUGAUGGAUAUUGAAGGGAGGGUUGAAGGGGGUAUAUAUAGAGAGUGGAAGAGGAGCAAUGAAUAGGGUUCGGGGUUUGGGGUUUGGUGGGUGGCUUUGUGUGAGAGAGAGCGCUAAACAUCGUAAUCCUUAGGUACCAAAUACACCAUAAUCCUUAGCCAAUCCGAAAAUUGAGAAAUUUAAAAUAAAAAAUUUAAGAGGGUUAAGGGUGACAUCCAUAAUUAUUAUGAUGUACUGACGCUUCUCUCUUGAGUAUUGUAAGUUAUAUCUCACAUUGGUUAUAAGUAAUUUUAAGUUUUGUGAAUCAAGCCUAGCCUCUUAAGACACACUGGUUUUU